rnacentral:lncRNA from 1 species
GGAAGGAUAGCCACUCACUUUCUACUUUGAUUUACAGUCAUGGAGAUUUGCUCUUGUUGAGGAUUUUGACAUUGAUCCUCUCUUUCUUUUGUUUUGUUUACCCUUAUUUUUGCCUGGGCUGAUCCUUUUGGUCAGCAACCCGUCGGGAUACCCUAAUUUUUGCCUAAGUCAAUCUUGUUUUCAAGUUCUUGACUUAGCGAGCUUUUGAUUUGCUUUUUAUUUUUUUAUUUCAUCUUUUCUUUUGG